rnacentral:rRNA from 1 species
UACGGGGGGGGCAAGCGUUGUUCGGAAUUACUGGGCGUAAAGGGCUCGCAGGCGGCCGACUAAGUCAGACGUGAAAUCCCUUGGCUUAACCAAGGAAUGGCGUCUGAUACUGGACGGCUUGAAUCCGGGAGAGGGAUGUGGAAUUCCAGGUGUAGCGGUGAAAUGCGUAGAUAUCUGGAGGAACACCGGUGGCGAAGGCGGCAUCCUGGACCGGUAUUGACGCUGAGGAGCGAAAGCCAGGAGAGCAAACGGG